ACGGGAGGCAGCAGUGAGGAAUAUUGGUCAAUGGGCGGAAGCCUGAACCAGCCAAGUCGCGUGAAGGAUGAAGGUAUUAUGUAUUGUAAACUUCUUUAGACGCAGAGAAGUAAGGAGGUCGAGACCUCUGAUGCUAGUAUGCGUAGAAUAAGGAUCGGCUAACUCCGUGCCAGCAGCCGCGGUAAUACGGAGGAUCCGAGCGUUAUCCGGAUUUAUUGGGUUUAAAGGGUGCGCAGGCGGCCCUGUAAGUCAGCGGUUAAAUCGUGAGGCUCAACCUCAUCUCGCCGUUGAUACUGCAGGGCUUGAUUGCGGUCGAGGUUGGCGGAAUUCGCCGUGUAGCGGUGAAAUGCAUAGAUAUGGCGAAGAACUCCGAUUGCGUAGGCAGCUGACCAGGCCGUAAAUGACGCUCAUGCACGAAAGUGCGGGGAUCGAACAGGAUUAGAUACCCUGGUA
rnacentral:rRNA from 1 species